GAUGAACGCUGGCGGCGUGCUUAACACAUGCAAGUCGAACGAUGAAGCCCGGCUUGGUGGGUGGGUUGGUGGCGAAGGGGUGAGUAACACGCGAGUAACAUGCCCCCUAUACUGGGGUAAGACUGGGGGAAAGGGGGUACUAAUGCAUAGGAGUGUCCCGAGCAUGGUGGGUGUUGGAAAGAUUUAGCGGUUUUGGUUGGAUUCGCGGGGUUUCACCUUGUUGGAGAGGUAUUGGCUCACCAAGGCGAAGACGGGUAGCCGGCCUGAGAGGGUGACCGGGCACAUUGGGACUGAGACACGGCGCAGACUCCUACGGGAGGCAGCAGUGGGGAAUAUUGCACAAUGGGCGCAAGCCUGAUGCAGCGACGCCGCGUGCGGGAUGACGGCCUUCGGGUUGUAAACCGCUUUCAAUAGGGAAGAAGCGAAAGUGACGGUACCUGCAGAAGAAGCACCGGCUAACUACGUG
rnacentral:rRNA from 1 species